rnacentral:rRNA from 1 species
AGAGUUUGAUCCUGGCUCAGGAUGAACGCUAGCUACAGGCUUAACACAUGCAAGUCGAGCGGAACUACUUCGGUAGUUUAGCGGCAGACGGGUGAGUAACACGUAUCCAACCUUUCCCUUACCCGGGUAUAGCCUCGGGAAACUGAGAGUAAUCCCCGAUGUGGUGUACGAGAAGCAUUUGUUGCACACCAAAGAUUCGUCGGUAAGGGGUGGGGAUGCGCUCCAUUAGCUGGUAGGCGGGGUAACGGCCCACCUAGGCGAUGAUGGAUAGGGGUUCUGAGAGGAAGGUCCCCCACACUGGAACUGCGACACGGUCCAGACUCCUACGGGAGGCAGCAGUGAGGAAUAUUGGUCAAUGGGCGGAAGCCUGAACCAGCCAUGCCGCGUGAAGGAAUGAGGCCCUAUGGGUCGUAAACUUCUUUUGACGGGGAGCAAUAAGGCGUACGUGUACGCCGAUGAGAGUACUCGUCGAAUAAGCAUCGGCUAACUCCGUGCC